UUUGUUUCAAGACAAAACGAC
rnacentral:siRNA from 1 species